rnacentral:rRNA from 1 species
GACGAACGCUGGCGGCGUGCCUAAUACAUGCAAGUCGAACGAGAGCGACCGGUGCUUGCACUGGUCAAUCUAGUGGCGAACGGGUGAGUAACACGUGGGUAACCUGCCCAUCAGAGGGGGAUAACAUUCGGAAACGGAUGCUAAAACCGCAUAGGUCUUCGAACCGCAUGGUUUGAAGAGGGAAAGAGGCGCAAGCUUCUGCUGAUGGAUGGACCCGCGGUGCAUUAGCUAGUUGGUGAGGUAACGGCUCACCAAGGCCGUGAUGCAUAGCCGACCUGAGAGGGUGAUCGGCCACAUUGGGACUGAGACACGGCCCAAACUCCUACGGGAGGCAGCAGUAGGGAAUCUUCCGCAAUGGACGCAAGUCUGACGGAGCAACGCCGCGUGAGUGAAGAAGGUUUUCGGAUCGUAAAACCCUGUUGUUAGAGAAGAAUAAGUGCUAGAGUAACUGUUAGCGCCUUGACGGUAUCUAACCAGAAAGCCACGGCUAACUACGUG